GAUGAACGCUAGCUACAGGCCUAACACAUGCCUUUCGAGGGGAAACGGCAGCUUAGCUUGCUAAGCUGGACGUCGACCGGCGCACGGGUGAGUAACGCGUAUCCAACCUGCCCCACGGUGAGGGAUAACCCGCGGAAACGCGGCCUAAUACCUCAUGGUCUCCGAGCUUGACAUCAACCUUGGAGUAAAGAUUCAUUGCCGUGGGAUGGGGAUGCGUCUGAUUAGCUUGUUGGCGGGGCAACGGCCCACCAAGGCAACGAUCAGUAGGGGUUCUGAGAGGAAAGCCCCCCACAUUGGAACUGAGACACGGUCCAAACUCCUACGGGAGGCAGCAGUGAGGAAUAUUGGUCAAUGGGCGAGAGCCUGAACCAGCCAAGUAGCGUGCAGGAUGACGGCCCUAUGGGUUGUAAACUGCUUUUAUGCGGGGAUAAAGCGGGCGACGUGUCGCCCUUUGCAGGUACCGCAUGAAUAAGGACCGGCUAAUUCCGUGCCAGCAGCCGCGGUAAUACGGAAGGUCCGGGCGUUAUCCGGAUUUAUUGGGUUUAAAGGGAGCGCAGGCCGGGUAUUAAGCGUGUUGUGAAAUGUAGGCGCCCAACGUCUGCACCGCAGCGCGAACUGGUGCCCUUGAGUACGCACGACGUUGGCGGAAUUUCGCCGUGUAGCGGUGAAAUGCUUAGAUAUGGCGAAGAACUCCGAUUGCGAAGGCAGCUGACGGGAGCGCUACUGACGCUCAUGCUCGAAAGCGCGGGUAUCGAACAGGAUUAGAUACCCUGGUAGUCCGCGCGGUAAACGAUGGAUGCCCGCUAUUUGCGCAUUAGCGCAAGUGGCCAAGUGAAAACGUUAAGCAUCCCACCUGGGGAGUACGCCGGCAACGGUGAAACUCAAAGGAAUUGACGGGGGCCCGCACAAGCGGAGGAACAUGUGGUUUAAUUCGAUGAUACGCGAGGAACCUUACCCGGGCUUGAAUUGCAGAGGAAAGAUCCAGAGAUGGUGAUGCCCUUCGGGGCCUCUGUGAAGGUGCUGCAUGGUUGUCGUCAGCUCGUGCCGUGAGGUGUCGGCUUAAGUGCCAUAACGAGCGCAACCCCUCUCCAUAGUCGCCAUCAGGUAGUGCUGGGCACUCUGUGGACACUGCCACCGUAAGGUGCGAGGAAGGUGGGGAUGACGUCAAGUCAGCACGGCCCUUACGUCCGGGGCUACACACGUGUUACAAUGGGGGGUACAGAGAGUCGGGACAACGCGAGUUGCCCCCAAUCAUCAAAGCCCCCCUCAGUUCGGACUGGGGUCUGCAACCCGACCCCACGAAGUUGGAUUCGCUAGUAAUCGCGCAUCAGCCAUGGCGCGGUGAAUACGUU
rnacentral:rRNA from 1 species